rnacentral:rRNA from 1 species
AAUAGUGCAAUAAAGUACAUGAAAAAAAAAAGUUCUCGUCCGAUCACUGAAGUUAAGCAGCAAUGAGCGUGGUCAGUACUUGGAUGGAUGAGACCGCUUGGGACACCACGUAUUAUUAUCU